rnacentral:rRNA from 1 species
CGACCGCUGGCGGCGUGCUUACCACAUGCACGUCGAACGGCAAGGCCCUGCUUUUGUGGGGUGCUCGAGUGGCGAACGGGUGAGUAACACGUGAGUAACCUGCCCUUGACUUUGGGAUAACUUCAGGAAACUGGGGCUAAUACCGGAUAAGAGCUCCUGCUGCAUGGUGGGGGUUGGAAAGUUUCGGCGGUUGGGGAUGGACUCGCGGCUUAUCAGCUUGUUGGUGGGGUAGUGGCUUACCAAGGCUUUGACGGGUAGCCGGCCUGAGAGGGUGACCGGCCACAUUGGGACUGAGAUACGGCCCAGACUCCUACGGGAGGCAGCAGUGGGGAAUAUUGCACAAUGGGCGGAAGCCUGAUGCAGCAACGCCGCGUGCGGGAUGACGGCCUUCGGGUUGUAAACCGCUUUCGCCUGUGACGAAGCGUGAGUGACGGUAAUGGGUAAAGAAGCACCGGCUAACUACGUG